AAACUGUUUCGAGUGACACCCGAAUUGUCUUCCUCCGACCAGACCGGCGGCAGAGAUGAGGUUCGUGGCGCCGCUCUUCGUUUUCCUGGCUGUGGCAGCGUUUCACUCUGUGCUUUCAGCAUCUCUGGAAUCUGCAGAGAAAGAGGAAAAAGCUGCUGAACAUGAUGGACUAGCAGAGCUAAAGAAAAUAGAUCAGAUGGAGUUUGAGGCUGCUCAAAAGGAAAAAGCAGCUCAGAUGAACGUUACAGAGGAGCAGACCGAAGAUUCCCGCUACG